GUGAUGUGUCACACACUUUCCACUCUGAUGCAUGAGUAAGGAAGAAUGCAAAGAUUGGUGGCAAAGUGUGGUUAGGUGGAUCAAUAAACCACAGGAUGUUUUGGAUUCUGGAGCUGUAAGGAACAGUGGGAGGCAUUGGAAAGUGUGUAUUCACCAGCACCUGGGGACUGCUCCCAUGCCCGAAUGCAGGUAUGAAACUAAGUAGGAAAUGGUAGCAGGAAGCCUCAAAUUGAAUUGGCAAUGACACAGAAAAAAGUAGGGAAAAACAGGAAAUGGGACCCCAGCACAUCCUUAAACUUGAUGUGCAGCAAAUGUUUGUCUGUGGAGGCUUUGUCCUUUACUGUGUGGGAUGCCCUAAAGCAUGACAUUCUUUCCCACUUGCUGUGUUCCUAGAUUGUUGAUGUUCUAAUUUUGAACAGAUGUCUCUAGUAAGUAAAUGGUGAUUCAGUUUUUCAUUGGCCAAGUUCAUGUUCCAGCUGUAGACAGGAGGACACACAUUGGUUCCUGUGAAGGCAUCAGAGCUCAGUCUGUGACUCAUGGCAGACGGUGGCCAAUGCUCAGGGUCAAUAACUGUAGCAAUUGUAUUCCCUGAAAGUUACCAGCCAUUCCAAGGAGGGAAAACCAUGCUGGGGUGGUGCUGGGGUGGUCUUUGGCUUUGUGAGACGUCACUGAUUCCAAAGAGCAUUCACACCUGCCAGCCUUUGCUACUGCUGUCAAUGCUCAGGGGAUCAGUGCCCUUCCCUGGCUCAGCGCCCAGUGCCAACAGAACACCUUGCAGGAUCCUCAGCAGCGCAGACAACACUCCAAGAUGCCGGCCUCGGCUUGGAACGGAGCGGUGUCAUGGCGGAGACGACGGCCUUUGUCUCGCAGGGUGUGAAAGCAUCCGUUGUGCUGGCUCCACUGCGGCAGAAUGA
rnacentral:lncRNA from 1 species